ACACCAUGCCCCAUAUCGGGCCCUCAUCAUCCUGCUCCAUAAGCAAUCAAGCUGGAUAAGAAAUCUAACAGUAUGUUUGGCAAUCAUGACCUCUCUCCUGACCUGCAAGGAUUGAAUCCCAAAAUCUCCGUCCCUUACAGGCUGACAAACCACCUCCUAAGAUGGUAGGUAGAUCCCACGUCCAUCGUAUCCUAAGCCCCA
rnacentral:lncRNA from 1 species